AUUGAACGCUGGCGGCAGGCUUAACACAUGCAAGUCGAACGAGUGGCGGACGGGUGAGUAAUGAUUGGGAAUCUGGCUGAUGGAGGGGGAUAACUACGGGAAACGGUAGCUAAUACCGCAUACCAUAGGAUGAGCCCAAGUGGGAUUAGAUAGUUGGUGAGGUAAAGGCUCACCAAGCCGACGAUCUCUAGCUGGUCUGAGAGGAUGACCAGCCACACUGGAACUGAGACACGGUCCAGACUCCUACGUGAGGCAGCAGUGGGGAAUAUUGCGCAAUGGGGGCAACCUGAUGCAGCCAUGCCGCGUGUAUGAAGAAGGCCUUCGGGUUGUAAAGUUCUUUCGGUAGCGAGGCGUUAACUACAGAAGAAGCACCGGCUAACUCCGUGCCAGCAGCCGCGGUAAUUC
rnacentral:rRNA from 1 species